CUUCCCUCUCCCUAUCUCCUUUCCCUCUCCCUAUCUAGCUCCAUCCUUUCCCUCUCCGUAUCCUCCUGUCUCCCUCAGACUCUCCCACCCCAGAUUCCUCACAUCAUCCCUUUCUCCUCCUCUACCGCCUCAUAAUUAUCUCCCUUGACAACUCUUUCUACCCCUUCACUUGUUGACACCUCACGGUGUUAAAAAAGACCAUGGAAAUUGGCCCUUUGGCCCAACAUUAAGUCCCUGUCUCCCAUUUCCCAGCACUAGACAGAUAGCUUUCUAGGCUACAGCAUUUUAAGUGUUCAUCUCAAUACUUCUUAAAUGUUCUGAGAGUACCUGCCUCCACCACACUCUUAGGCGCUGCAACCCCAAUUUUAAAUGCCCUCAAAUCUCCUAACCACCCUCCCCCACUUCUUUAAACCUAUAUCGUCUGGUUAUAGACACCUGUCCCAACCUUUUUACCUCUUCUCUAUUUACCUCCUACCAGUAUCCCCUUCGUCAUCUCUUUCUUUUGUUUCGUCUCCUUCUUCCCACAUCCCUCUCCAAAUCUCUCUGUCCUUUCCUCCUUAUACACUGCAACUUAUCUUCCUCUGUCUCAUCACCUUUUUACACAUUUCUCCAUAUCAACAUUAUUCACUCCAAUCCCUUCCCUCACUUCCUUUCCCUGUUCACCUUUCCCUGUUCUGUCCUUCCAGUACUUUUUCACUUAACUGCUUUUGUCUGCUCCUCCACCCUCUCCCCCUCCACCAUCAGCAUCCCCUCUUCACUAUCAUCCUGCAUUCUCCUCUGGCAGUUUGUCACCUCUUUUCUCUAUCCUCAUCUACUUGGCAUCCUCCCCCCAUCUCCCCCAUACUCCCUCUUUGCAUUCUUACUUUCCUGUUACUUUUCUUUCCCCUCUCCAUAUGCCAGAAUGGCGGUAGUACUCAGGAGAGGGAGUUUGUGGAAUGUCUAAGGGACGUUUUUCUGGAGCAACUUGUUGAAGAGCCCACCAGGGGAUCGGCUGUUUUGGAUUGGGUGCUGUGUAAUGAACCGGAGGUGAUUAGGGAACUAAAGUUGUGGAGUUGUAAAUGGCGAUAGUAGAUCCCAGACCUCCUAAAAAUUCGCAAUGUUUGGUCCAUUCUGCGUAACCAGAAUGGUCUAAGGAGUCAUCUGUGCACAGUGAUGACAAUGAUGAAGCUGCAUCAUCUUGCAAUAAAAAAAAAGCUCUGCCUUCAAUACUAUAUUCCAAGGAAACUCAUCUCCAAACUCCUAGACCUGGGACUCAACACAUCCCUUCGGAACUGGAUCCUUGACUUCCUGACCAACAGACUGCAAUCACUAAGGAACUGAGGAGACAAUCACGUUGGUAGGUCCAGUGUCACACACAGACUAUAUCAGGCAAAGAUGGCAGAUUUCCUUACAAGAAAGGCAUCAGUGAACCCUAACACCACGUGACUGCUUUGAGACAGUGGACUGUCCAUGUUCAAAGAUUCAGCUGCCAGCCUUGAUGAGUAUGCCACCACCAUCACAGACUUUGUCAGCAAGUGUGUGGAGGACUGUGAACCAAAGAGGACAAUACGGGUGUUCCCAAACAGGAAACCAUGGAUGAACUGGGAGAUCUACUCCCUACUGAAGUUGAGGACUGCUGCACACAAAUCUGGUGAUCCUGAUCUGUACAAGAAAUCAAGAUAUGACCUUCGGAAAGCUAUCAGGGAUGCCAAGAGGCAAUACUGACUCAAAAUAGAGUCCCAGACCAGCCAUCAGUUAUGGCAGGGCUUACAUGCCAUAACAGGCUACAAGACGAAGUCGGGCUGCAUGGUUAACAACAGCGCAUGCCUUCCUGAUGAACUUAACGUAUUCUAUGCGUGUUUUGAACAGAAGGGAAGUGGAUUAUCACCACCCACCCUGACAGCCUCCAAUGCAACUGCACCUGUGGUCACUGUGAGGACCUAAGAUCAGUCUUCCGGAGAGUGAACACGAGGAAAGCAUCUGACCCAGCUGGUGUCCCUGGCCAUGUGCUCAGAUCUUGAACUGAUCAGCUGGCAGAAGUAUUUGUGGACGUAUUUAACCUCUCCCUGCUUCAAUCUCAGGUUGCCACCUGUUUUAGGAAGACCACUAUUAUCCCGGUACCGAAGAAAAGCAAGGUAACAUGCCUCAAUGACUAUCGACCAGUGGCUCUGGCAUCCACCAUCAUGGUGCUUUGAAAGGUUGGUCAUGGCACGCAUCAACUCCUGCCUCCCAGACAGUCUUGACCCGCUGCUAUUCACCUAUCCCCGAAACAGGUCUACAGUGGACGCCAUCUCCCUGGCCCUACACUCAGCUCUGGAGCAUCUGGACAGUAAAGACAUCUAUGUUAGACUAUUGUUUAUUGACUACAGCUCUGCCUUCAAUACAAUAAUCCCAAGUAAGCUUGUCACCAAACUCUCAGAUCUGGGACUCAACACCUCCCUCUGUAACUGGAUCCUUGACUUUCUAACAAACAGACCGCAAUCAGUGUGGAUAGGCAGCAAUACCUCUGGCACGAUUAUUCUCAACACCGGUGUCCCAAAAGGGUGCAUCCUCAGCUCUCUACUCUACUCCCUAUACACUCAUGACUGUGUGGCUAGAUUCUGCUCUAACUCCAUCUACAAGUUUGCAGAUGAUACCACCGUUGUAGGCCGUAUCUGAAACAGUGAUGAGUCGGACUACAGGAAGGAGAUAGAGAGCUUAGUGGAAUGGUAUCACGACAACAACCUUUCCCUCAAUGUCAACAAAACAAAAGAGCUGGUCAUUGACUUCAGGAAAGGGGGCGGUGUACAUGCACCUGUCUACAUCAAUGGUGCUGAGGUCGAGAGGGUUGAGAGCUUCAAGUUCCUGGGAGUGAACAUCACCAACAGCCUGUCCUGGUCAAAUCACGUAGAUGCCAUGGCCAAGAAAGCUCACCAGCGCCUUUACUUCCUCAGGAGGCUAAAAAAAUUCGGUUUGUCCCCUUUGACUCUCACCAACUUUUAUCGAUCCACCAUAGAAAGCAUCCUAUCUGGAUGUAUCACGGCUUGGUACAGCACCUGCUCUGCCCAGGACUGCCAGAAACUGCAGAGAGUUGUGGACACAGCCCAGCGCAUCACGGACACCAGCCUCCCCUCCUUGGACUCUGUCUUUACCUCUCGCUGUCCUGGUGAAGCAGCCAGCAUAUCAAAGACCCCACCCACCCGGGACAUUCUCUCUUCUCUCCUCUUCCAUCAGGUAGAAGAUACAGGAGCCUGAGGGCAUGUACCACCGGACUUAAGGACACCUUCUACCCCACUGUGAUAAGACUAUUGAACGGUUCCCUUAUAUGAUGAGAUGGACUAUAACCUCACGAUCUACCUUGUUGUGACCUUGCACCUUAUUGCACGCACUUUCUCUGUAGCUGUGACACUUUACUCUGUACUGUUAUUGUUUUUACCUCUACUACAUCAAUGCACUCUGUACUAACUCAAUGUAACUGCACUGUGUAAUGAAUUGACCUGUACGAUCAGUAUGCAAGACAAGUUUUUCACUGUACCUUGAUACAAGUGACAAUAAUGAACCAAUACCAAUGAGAUUUUAUGACAUUCCAAUAGUGUUAUGAUCACAAUUAUUGAGACCUUCAUCUCAUUCCUUCUUUUACUAGGGACAACAGUCAUAAUUGUUUACAGAAUUUUCUCUAAAAAACAUUAUUAAUUGUUUUCCUGCUCUGCCCAAGACAAUAGAUUGCAGAGAGUUGUGAGCACAGCCUCCCCUCUUUUAACCCUGUCUAUACUUCCAGCUGCCUCAGGAAACAGCCAACAAAAUCAAAGACCCCUCCCACCCCGGUCAUUCUCUUCUCUUCCCCCUUCCAUUGGGCAGAAGGUACAAAAUCUUGUGAACAUGCACCACCGGGCUCAAGGGCAGCUUCUAUCCCACUGUUACAAAACUCUUGAACGGACCUCUUGUGUGAUAAAGAACCUUGAUCUCUCAGUCUACUUUGUCAUGGCCUUGCACCUUACUUGACUACCUACACUGCACUUUGUCUGUAACUGUAACACAAUAUUCUGCAUUCUAUUAUUGUUUUUCCUUUUGUACUACGUCAAUAUACUUAU